GUGGGGAAUAUUGCGCAAUGGGGGAAACCCUGACGCAGCGACGCCGCGUGAGCGAAGAAGGCCUUAGGGUUGUAAAGCUCUGUUUUAAGGGACGAAUGUCGUGGGGAGUAAUAUGCUCUGCGAAUGACGGUACCUUAAGAGGAAGCCCCGGCUAACUACGUGCCAGCAGCCGCGGUAAGACGUAGGGGGCGAGCGUUGUCCGGAAUUACUGGGCGUAAAGAGCACGUAGGCGGGAACUUAAGUCAGGUGUGAAAGACCGGGGCUCAACUCCGGGGUUGCACUUGAAACUGGGUUUCUUGAGGGCAGGAGAGGAAAGCAGAAUUCCUGGUGUAGCGGUGAAAUGCGUAGAAAUCAGGAGGAAUACCAGUGGCGAAGGCGGCUUUCUGGACUGACCCUGACGCUGAGGCGCGAAAGCGUGGGGAGCAAACAGGAUUAGAAACCCGAGUAGUCC
rnacentral:rRNA from 1 species